UGCUAUAAUCUGUACAGUUACUCCAGUAUCUUUGGAAGAGACAUUAAGCACCCUUCAGUUUGCUAGUACAGCAAAGAAGAUGAAAAAUAACCCCAAAGUAAAUGAAGUUCUAGAUGAUGAUGCCCUCUUAAAGAGGUACUGAAGAGAAAUAGAAGACUUGAAGCGGUGCUUGGAGGAAGUUUCUUCAAACUGUCACACCAGAGAUAAAGAGAAAGGCCUGCUCGCCCAGCUCUUGGAAGAGAAGAACUCAUUGCAAAAGCUGCAGGAGGACAGGAUAAGAACCUUGGCCGAGAUGGUGGGCACGUCAUCAUCUUUUUUGCAA